rnacentral:rRNA from 1 species
UAAGGAAUAUUGGUCAAUGGACGCAAGUCUGAACCAGCCAUGCCGCGUGAAGGAUUAAGGCCCUCUGGGUUGUAAACUUCUUUUAUAGGGGAAGAAAUGUGACGGUUCUCCGUCACUUGAAGGUACCCUGGGAAUAAGCACCGGCUAACUCCGUGCCAGCAGCCGCGGUAAUACGGAGGGUGCAAGCGUUAUCCGGAUUCACUGGGUUUAAAGGGUGCGUAGGUGGGCAGAUAAGUCAGUGGUGAAAUCUUCCGGCUUAACCGGGAAACUGCCGUUGAUACUAUGUGUCGUGAAUAUUGCGGAGGUAAGCGGAAUAUGUCAUGUAGCGGUGAAAUGCUUAGAUAUGACAUAGAACACCAAUUGCGAAGGCAGCUUACUACACAAUCAUUGACACUGAGGCACGAAAGCGUGGGUAGCGAACA